rnacentral:siRNA from 1 species
CAGCUACCUCGAGCUCAACCGU